CAGGCAUUUCCGUGGGAAAAAGCUCCAUUUUCCUGUGCCGAAGCCCUCUCUUCUCCUCAAAAUGCGAUCCCUUCAGCAGGUGCGUGUGCCCAUGAAGGAGCUGGAAGGGGAGCUGUUUGGGAAUUAGGCUUGUUGUCGAGAACACAGUGAAGCCUUAAUGAUGAAGAGCUACUGAUUUCCUCCAGGAUCUUUUUUGUUGUACUCAUCCUUGGGAAAGCAACAUCUUUAACAUACGAGGCUGUCGGAGACAUUUCCCUACUGAACACCUGACAAGAGGUCCACAAAUUUGGGUCCUUGGUAAUACCUAUGAUGUGCUGAGCAAUCUUCAUGAAGAGAAGCAUAUAGUUUUGUUGCUGAAAGACUAAAUACAGGCAGGUUGUCAGGUGGACAUGAGGCUCAGUCUGUGCACAAAGAUCAUCUUACCAGAGCAUUGCAUGUCUGAGUGUGCAAACAGCUAUGCCAUGUAUGGGAGGAGAUAAAACACCCUCCACAAGUGACACAGAUGCCAUAGUUUUGGUAGAACUGCAUCCAUCGUAGGUGUCUCUGCUAGCACAGUGCACAUCCUGCCAUACCUUAGAAAUCAAUUGUGUGGCUAUGACAGACUGUAGUGGACAGCUAAACUGGGGUGAUGGGAGAGGUUACCACUGUCAUCCCUGCUCCUCCUCACUUCUGAAGGAUACCAAAAUAGCACAUCAAUGAACCUCACGUUAACAGCUCCCUCAGUUCUAGCCUAGACCCAAUUAACUCAAUUAAGUGGUAAACUGAGGUGGGUGUCUCAUUUGUGAUCCUUCAGCUAUCUUAGCUGUGGGGUAGCUGUUGCUGAGAGAAUGGUGAGACUGAGAGGUGAGGUUUAUAACCUUCUCAGCUGUUCAGUCUCAUUUACCAACAAACACACGUAUUGUUUUCGUGAAUUUGAGAGAUUAAGCCAGGAGGAACCAUUCUGUGUGGUCCUGAUUUGGUUCAGGUUUAGAGAAAGUCUUUCCCCAGGUCUAGCACAAACUAGAUGGCUUACUUGAUUAUUCUUUUCAUUGAGGCAACUACUAUGUGUUGUGUGUCUGUACUGUUGAAAAGGGAAGCAGAAAGAUCCAGAUGAGAAGGGACCUCUGGAAGUCUCCACUCCAAACCCCUGCUUAGAGCUGGCUUAGCUCCUGAGCUAAAUCAGGUUGCUGAGCGCCUUGUCCAGGCUAGUCCUGAACAUCUCCAAUGGUGGAGAUUCCCCAGCCUCUCUGUGGCAGAGAGGCACCUCUGCCAAUGCUGAACCACCCUCAGCAAUUAAAUUCCCCCCUUGGCUUUUUCUUCUCCAGCCUGAAAAUACCCAGCUCCUUCGGCCUCCCCCUCAUGUUAUGGGCUCCAACACCUUAAUUGUCUUACUGGCCCCCUGCUGUACUCUGCCCAGUUCAUCAGUAUCUCUCUUGUACAGUAUUUAUGUAAAGAGGAUGUAUCACAGUGGAGGCCUCUUGCUUCUCAAGUUAACAUUUUUCGCACAGUCGAAUCAGAGAAUGAUACAGCUGGAGAGAUCCUAAGAGAUUGUGUGGCCCAUCCUCCUGCUCCAGGGGAGGAUCAGCUGCACCUGAGCAUUCCUGAUAUGUAUGUGCUGAGCCUCCUAGCCAACUCACAGACUCCCUGAGUCAUUUAUCCAGCCUGAAAAAAAUAUAGCUAAUAAUGCUCUUCAUUUAGCCAAGCUCUUCAGUCUGUUGAUUUCAAAGGUGGCUUCAUUUUAUUAUCUGUGUUCGGCAGCCAGUCUGCCUAUAGUCUCUUUGCACUGGAACACCUGACCAUUUGUGCUUCGUCUGUCUAUUUUCCACUCAUGCUAACCACCCUAAAUGAGAGUAAAGUGUGACUUUGCCUAA